rnacentral:rRNA from 1 species
GAUGAACGCUGGCGGCGUGCUUAACACAUGCAAGUCGAACGGAAAGGCUCCUGCUUGCAGGGGUACUCGAGUGGCGAACGGGUGAGUAACACGUGGGUGAUCUGCCCUGCACUUCGGGAUAAGCCUGGGAAACUGGGUCUAAUACCGGAUAGGACGAUGGUUUGGAUGCCAUUGUGGAAAGUUUUUCGGUGUAGGAUGAGCUCGCGGCCUAUCAGCUUGUUGGUGGGGUAAUGGCCUACCAAGGCGUCGACGGGUAGCCGGCCUGAGAGGGUGUACGGCCACAUUGGGACUGAGAUACGGCCCAGACUCCUACGGGAGGCAGCAGUGGGGAAUAUUGCACAAUGGGCGCAAGCCUGAUGCAGCGACGCCGCGUGGGGGAUGACGGCCUUCGGGUUGUAAACUCCUUUCGCUAGGGACGAAGCGCAAGUGACGGUACCUGGAGAAGAAGCACCGGCUAACUACGU